UACGGGGGGGGCAAGCGUUGUUCGGAAUUACUGGGCGUAAAGGGCUCGUAGGUGGCCAACUAAGUCGGACGUGAAAUCCCUCAGCUUAACUGGGGAACUGCGUCCGAUACUGGAUGGCUCGAGUUUGGGAGAGGGAUGCGGAAUUCCAGGUGUAGCGGUGAAAUGCGUAGAUAUCUGGAGGAACACCGGUGGCGAAGGCGGCAUCCUGGACCAACACUGACACUGAGGAGCGAAAGCCAGGGAGCAAACGGG
rnacentral:rRNA from 1 species